rnacentral:rRNA from 1 species
UACAGAGGUCUCAAGCGUGUUCGGAUUCAUUGGGCGUAAAGGGUGUGUAGGUGGCGCCGUAAGUCGGGUGUGAAAUCUCGGGGCUUAACUCCGAAACUGCAUUCGAUACUGCGGUGCUUGAGGACUGGAGAGGAGACUGGAAUUCAUGGUGUAGCAGUGAAAUGCGUAGAGAUCAUGAGGAAGACCAGUGGCGAAGGCGGGUCUCUGGACAGUUCCUGACACUGAGACACGAAGGCCAGGGGAGCAAACGGG